AUUGUGCUCAUGUUUCGAUACCCAUCUACUGACAGUGCUGAAAGAAUCAAGAAAAAAAUAGAAAGGACUUUAUAUCAAAGUCUGAAGAUCAAACAAUUGCCUUUCACUAUAUAUAAACCAUCAUUUACCCUCACACGAGGCCUACAUGCAUCAGAGACAACCAGAUGGCGACUUGCAGUGUACACAGUGUCUGGGUAGCAGGACCUCAGUGACUGUAGAGGCUGUGCUGCCGACUCCAAAACACCAUCGUCUGUGUUUCCCAGUUGUAGCCUCCUCCCUCAUCUCCUUCCAGUCCCAUCCUCCAUCCCUCUUUCUUGGAACAUGUGUGGAGUGGCAUCACCAACCCCACCUACAGCAGACUAAACUUUCAGCACCAGUUACAUAAUCUUACUGGGAAAAGACAGGAGUCUAACAUGACUGUCCUCAGAGAGGCUCUACCCAGCAGCUGAUGGAAACAGAGACCCACAGCCAAUCAUUAGGUGGAGCUUGAGGAGUCUUGUGGAAGAGUAAGGAGAAGGAUAGAAGGUCUGGAAGAGAACAAGAACUCCACAAGAAGACCAACAGAGGAAACUAACCCAAGCCUAUGGGAGCUCACAGAGACUGAAACACCAACCAGAGAACAUGCAUGGACUAGAACUAGGCCUCCUGCACAUAUGUAGCAGAAGGGCAUCUUGGUCUUCAUGUGGGUCCCCUAGCAAGUGAAGCAGGGGCUGUCUCUGACAUGGACUCUGUUACCUGCUUUUGGAUUCCUUUCCCCUAGCUGGGCUGCCUUGUCUGGCCUCACUGGAAGAGGUUGCUCUUAGUCCUGAUGUAACCCUGUGUGCCAAGCUGGGUUUGGGCGGAGAAUGUUGGGGAAUGUUCUCUUUUCUGAA